GAAAACAAGUUGCUACAGCCAACAACUGAAAAGCUGUCCAAGGGAGUCUUUACAGCCAAGCAUCUAAACUGCGAGAUCCAGUCCCAUAAAGCACCCCCUUCUUUUAAGAAGAACAAACAUCACCUGUAAGGAUUAUAUAGUAAAUGCGCCAGAAUGAUCAGAGAAUGUAUUUCAAUAAAGUAAAUAUUCAGAAUGAUUAGUUUUGUUUUCCUACUUGCAAUCCCAGAGGUUUCAAAGCAUUAGAUUUUUAUAACUACAUUGAAUAAGACUUUUCUCUGACAAUUUCACACACACACACACACACACACACACACACACACACACACACACACACACACACGCACACACACGAAACAACCAAAAAAACAAAAAACAAAUCUUGUAGUCCUCUGGGGUCAUGAUAAUAAACACUGAUUUCCACUCAUGCCUCUCUAAGGAAGCUAAGACCUAGGUGGGCCCUUAAAGAUAGUUCUACAGAAAAUGGAUAUUGGAUUCAUUGUAGUAACUCUAUAACAUAACCCAGGAGUUGGUUGUUUUUUAUUUUAAUAUGCUUUCAUACUUGUUAUUCAUGAAAACUGAGUAUAGAACAGACAAACAUAUAACCUUUUGGGCACAUUAAUGCAGUUGCCUCUCUAUGGAUUUAAUUUUGAAAUGGGGAGUGAAGAAAACCAUUGUCCCUGGUGUCACUGAGUCCUGUCACAUCACUUUAUCCUCUUAUCAACAUUUGCUUGCUCUUUUAUUACACUUUUAUUGAGCCUUGCUGAUUAGAUAGAAAGGAGUAUAUUAGAACUUAGAACUUAUUUUAAAGCCUCAUUCCAAGUGCCACAAUUUCUUUUGCUCCCCUAGAGAUUUCAAACAUCCGGCCCACCCCAGUUUUGUUUGCCAUGAGAUUUUACUUGAAACAAAAUUCUAGGCAUGGCCAUUUGCAAUGGCACCAUUGCUACUGUGAGAAACCUUUCUAGGGCCUACAUAAUGGGAAAAAAUCCUGAAGUCUCUCUCCCAUGAUAUUUCACACUCUAAACAAUGCUCUGCUUCCCAGACUAAAUUGAUGAGACAGGUCCAGUGGUAAGCAGGAAAUUGGUGACACCAUCACUGGACACUGCCACGAUCAGUAAGAGGAGCACAGCAACUGAUCUAGCUAAGUAGCUUGCCCUUAGGUAUACAACAGGGAAGAAACCAAGGAAAGGAAGGAUGAGUUCAACCAUGAAUUCUUUGAGAAUUAAAUGUAGUUUCAAAUGUUCGUGCAUGCGCAUGCUAUUUUCUAAUUCUGAAAGUUGACAUUUUAUAAAGCUGCCAUCUUAGUAAAUAACAAAAGCCAAUGUGUUAUCUUAAAGAACAUCAAACACUUUUGAAAUAAAACACUAAGUGCUAGGCAAAAAGAGGAACAAGAAGAUGGCCAUGAAAAGUGAUGGCCAUAAUAUCAACAAUUCUGGCAGUUCUUUACUUUCUGUGUGAGCAUGUAACCUUUUCCCACCUUUGGAUGGGAUUACCAAAUUAGAUUAUCAAAAUCUCAUAAAGUGGGGGUGUUGUGAUAUACAUAUGUAAUCCUAGUACUCUCAAAGCAGACACAGGAUCAUAGGUGGCAAGUUAGCAUGUGUUAUACAGCAAAAUCCUGUCUCAUAAAACCAAGGGCUAGGAGUAAAGCUCAGAGGAAGAGUAAUGACUAGCAUAUGUAAAACUCUGGGUUUUAUUCUCUAUAUUAAGAUGACAGUGACAACAGUGACAACCAAACAUGACAACUGACAAACCAACGGCAGUGAACCACGACAAUGAAGAUGAUUACAAGCAAGUUCAUUAACUGAACAAGCGAAUAUUACUUCUACCAAGUAUGUAAGAGGAUGUAAAAUGUGUAUUUGUUAAACCAAGUUUAGUCAUUAUUAUGGGAAACUAUUUCAAAUGUAAAUGUGUUUUGUAUUCUAUCAGCUUAAGAUAAUUUGUUAGAUCUUAAGGUAACAGAAAACUCUGGCUGAUGUCUAAUUCAAUUAUUUCUAAGGAAAUGGUGAAGCAUCAGCAUAGGAUCUUGGGUUUAUACACACAUAUGCUUCCUAUUUGUACACGUACAUAUGCGUGUAUUAUGCCUCCAUGCAGUUAUGUGUGCUCACAUGCAUGUGGAUGCAUAUGUGAAGGUCAGAGGUUGAUAUUGGAUGUCUCCUUUAGUGUCUCUCCCUUUUAUUUACGGAAGUAGGGUCUCCUGCUGAACUUGCAGCUCAUAGGUACAGUGAGUCUAAUUAGCCAGCUUGCCCUGUGGCUCCCCGUCACCACCUCCAAAGCAUAGGGAAUACAGGCAAGGCGACAAGCCUACUUGGCUUUUAUAUUGGUGCUGGAGAUCCAAACUCUGGUCCUCAUGCUUAGGCAAUAUGCAUUUUAUCCACUGACCAUCUCCCUAGUUCUGCUUUUAUUUUCAGAAGUUACAGAAAGCUAUAUUUGAGUAUGUUAAAGGAUGUGUUCCUUUAGGCACUAAGAGAGGGAUAUGUGUGGAUACAGAAAGUUGUAGAGGGUUUACAAAAAGAAUUUUAUUUGUUUAGGUCAAAGCUGGCUCAAUUCUGGUGUGUGACUGAUAAAAUUUCUGACAAGAACUUUACAUUCAAGCAUACUGAUGAAAAACUAGCUUUGUUAUUUCUGUGUUUGGAGUCUUAGUCUGUUCUUACUACUUGGGAAUGGCUUGCUUUACCUUCGGGAAAAUCUUCCUAGGUAACAAAUAUUCUGCCUCCUUCCAGAAUUAUCUUCCACAGUCUCCUACUUUCUACUUCCACUGGCCUCACAUAUGGUAAGCAAGGCCUCUCCUUUGGGGUAUGUUCUCGUAUUCCUUGAUUCCUUAAGAAAGCAAAGUCUUCUUGCUCAGGAAGGAGCGAAGGGUCUUUUCGGUCACGUUGCUUCUCUGCUUCUAUGGGAAAUAUCUGUUACUUGGGUAGAACAGAGAAGUCAAGCAUUAUUCUUUUAAGAGAGGACUCAGCCUGUCUUUUUUUUCCCCCCGGAGCUGGGGACCGAACCCAGGGCCUUGCACUUGCUAGGCAAGCGCUCUACCACUGAGCUAAAUCCCUAACACCACAUUAUUCUUUUAAUAGCCCAUCAUCCCAUCUUAACCAAGUUUCAGAGGACCCAUGGGGGAAAAAUCAUAAAGGAGGCACCUAUGACUGUCAGGUUUGUGUGGUGUCACUAUUGCUGUGUGACAGACGUAGAACUGUCAAGUCAGAAGUGAUGAUUGGCCUCUCGUAGGUUAUAGCAGUAAAAUGUUACCAAUAUAAAUAGUUCAGAAACUGUAUGCUGCAUGAGCUUGUCCAUGUCUCUACCAGCCAUGAUAUAUUUCUAUUUCCCAGGGGUCAGCUUACUGCUUUGUCAAACUUUAGACAACUAGAGGACUAUGUCCAUUACUCAUCAUGAGGACUACAUGCUAAGACCCCUGUGGAUUCCUAAAACUCUGUUAAGUCAAAAACACUUCUUUUCUCUGUAUGCAUAUAUAUUUUAAAUGACAUGCCUACCACAAUCACCACAUGUGCAGGCCAGAAGAAGGUGUCAGAUCCCCUGGAACUGGAAUUACAGAUAGUUAUGAGCUGCCAUGCGGAACCUACACCCUUUCAUAUUAGGACCAAGAAACACCCCUAGUCCUGACAGAACAAGUUAAAACAAGUUUGAAGCCACACUGGUGAAUACUGAACUAAGCUGAGAUUUUGAAAACUAGUUGAAAAGCAGAGAAAGAAGCAGGAAAGAAUUCCUACAGCGUUCCAAAGACAUUUCCUAAGAUGCACCUCAAUGUAUAUCCAAGGUCAGAGUCAACGGUGUCCACCUGUAAUGAUCUUGGCCCAAAGGAGUCCAGGAGGCUAAAACGCCAUAUAACUAACUCUCGGUGAGAGAAGCAGGAAGAUUAAGUCACACGAUUCUCCCGUGCUUAUUACUAAAGCAGAAAUGUUCAGCUCCUCAAUUUCGUGAGGUUGACUUGGAGUCUAAGCAUCUUUUCGUGCAGUGGGCAUUGAGCUCGGGGCCUCAGGACACUAUCGGUGAGCCUCACUGUAACCUAGAUUCUUGCAUUUAAAUUAGAUCAUGUGGUAUUUGCUUUUUGUCUUUCUGUGAAUGGCUAAUGUUUGUAAACUCAUCUUUGUUCAUUAUGGAUAACAGAAUUUCCUUCUUUUAUGACUUGCUUGUAUUUCAUUGUAUAUAUACAAUUUGAAGGGUAAUUUUGAGGGAAAUUUGGGCUUACUUAACAGUAGGGACUAAGGAGAGAAACAAAAGAAGCCUUCCCCUUGCUUCCUUUCUCAACACACAAAUCUGUGUUCUGAGAAUAAUGAUGAACUGGACACAUUAAUACCCUAUUCUCAAGGAUCUCAUCGUAUAAGAGAAAUGUGGAACAGAUGGUAAAUAGGUUAGACCAAUAACAAGAAAACAGGACAUUGGUUAGAAAAAUAAUACAGAACCAUGAUGGAGUAAGAAGAGUUUGGUGAGGGAAAGCUCUGUGUAGGUGGCCCCAGAACCAAGACAUGAAACAAUCCUAAAAACAACUAGCCACUUUCAGAUGGGGAAGCCUCUCCAUCAGGGGGACUGAGGCUGCAGGAGCACUGAGGCAGAAAAAGUGAGAACCUUCCUGGGCUGUGGAGGCAGUUAAAGACCACAGCCAGUGUGGCUCAGGAAACACAGGAGAGCACACUGCCACAAGAGGUAUGCAGGACCAAAUCAAUGGUGCCUGGGGGCAGCAAGACGUCUGGACUUCCCGGGGAGACAAAAAGCUCCUGGAGGGAUUUGUGUAGAGGAAGGGCAGGCUCAGAAGGAAGCUGGCCUCUGUGUACACAGGGUCACUGUGUAUGUUUUCCGUAUAGGGUAAAAUGGACUCAAGUGCACCACAAAGAACUAGGUGAGGCAGGGAAUUGGGAAGACAGAACUGUUGCUGACAACGGAGGAGGAGUUUGACUAAGCAAAGCAAGCUACCAGAAGGGUUUCUUUACCUUACUUGGAGUUGUCAGCUUUGACACUUUACCCUGGUGUCUCAGUCACUGAGAGCUCACAUCAGCCCUCUUGACUAAAGGUCCUUUUUCAUUCAAUUAAACGCUUCUAAUUGCUAACAGGAAGAGAUAGCAAAAUGCAGAAAGGAGUUCUCCCAUUCUACUAUAUUUCCUUGCAAGAGCCCACCUGUACGCUUUUGAGCUACUUUGCCUACCUACCCUAGCCCAUUUUCUUAAAUGCAGCUGCCUACUGCCCCCAAGUUCCAAAGCUAAAAUGACCAUGUGACACUGGAAAGCAAACAAUAUUCAACUGUAGACAUACAACCAUCAAACAGUUAGGGCUCCCUCAAUGAGUACACCUUCAAGGGUGCCCAGGAAUUCUCUGACUUCUCCCAAAUUGCCCUGCUCCAUACAAUGCCUAUUAUGAACUUACCAAGGUCCGAGGCCCCUGUUCAAAAUUCCCAUCACAUCUAGAGUAAAAUCCAAAGCACGGCCAUGACCUAAAGUCUUUGCAUGCAAUGAUUCCUGGCGAUUUCUCUAGCCUUGUACCACUGUCCUUGCUACUCACUCCAGCCACAAUGGCCUUCCUUUUGCUCUUACAAAUGUCAAGGGGAUGGUGGCAUGCAUCUGCACUUACACAUAUGCCUUUGAGGACUACCACACACUUUCUGAAGUGGCUGCACCAUUUUACAGUCUGGCCAGCAGGACACAAUCAUUCUGACUUCUCCAUGUCCUCACCUACACUUGUUAUUAUGUCUUUGAAUCGAACAUCCCAGUGGGUGUGAAGAGGGACCUCACUGUGGUUUUAAUUUGCAUUUGCUUAAUGACUAAUGAUGUUGAACAUUUUUCAAGUGUUUAUUGGCCAUUUAUGUCUUUUCCUUGGGAAGAAAAACAUCUAUUCAAAUGCUUGCCCAUGUUUUACUAUUUUAUUUCAUUUUAUUUUAAUUGAUUUUGGAGAUAGAAUCUUGCUCAUAAUCCAGACUGCCCUUGAGUUCCUAAUCCUCCUGUUUGUCUCUCAAGUGCUGGAAUUGCUGGUCUUUACCAUGGACUUCACUUGGCUAAUACCCAUAUUUUAGUUGUGUAUGACUGUUUUGUUUUUAUGUCUUUUUAUCAAUGUUUUAAUAUUUUAUUGUUAAAAAUUAAUUAUUAUAAAUGUAUAGGUACACUUCUGAGCCUUUUUUUUAGUACUUGGGAUUGAACCUAGGGUUUCAUUCAUGUUAGGCAAAUGUUCUAACUUCUGAUUCUUAAUUUUAAAUUCUAUCCACUUAAUUCCAUGGCCUCCUUUUGCACUUCUGUUCCUAGGCCAGUACCACCACUUCAAACUUGUUCUUUUUCAAGUGCGCUUUGUUGUCAUAGGUUUCUGAUACUCCAUUAUGAAUUUUAAAAUCAGUUUGUCAAGUUGUUCAAAAAGCCAAGUGGCCAGGUAUGGUGGCAUACAUCUGUAAUUCUAGCACUUGGAAGAUGGUGGCAGAGGAUUCCUUAAGGUCAGCUUCAGUUAGGCUGUUACAUGGGGGCUUGUCAAAAAAAAAAAAGCUGGAAUCAUGACAGGGACCAUGUGGAAUUGGAAAAAUACUAUUCAGAACCAUAAAGUUUAGUAAUAUGAAGUCACAAUGGUUUUUAAUACAUUUACUAAGCUGUGCAAUCAUCAUUAUGAGGUAGUUUACACCAUUUUCAUCUCUCCCAUAAGAUCCCUCAUGCCUGUCAACAGCUAAUCCCUGUUCCUAUUCACAGACUCUGCAAAGCUCCACUCUAUUUUCUUUCUCUAUAGAUUUGCUUUUCUGUCCAUUUCCUAUAAAUACAAUUAUAGACAAUCUGGUCUUUCCUAAUUGGCCUCCUUUGCUUGCCAUAUGUAUUUUUAAUUAUGAGUAUUUUAAAAAAUAGUCUUAGACUUACAAAACAGAAGAAAAAACACACAAACAAAACCAGCCCCAAACCCCAAGAAGAUAGAUUGGAGAUGACAUAGCCACCUCUUUCCCACUGUGAGACUACAAUCUUACUAACAUCUUUCAUUAACAUGGUCCCAUUUAUUGAAAUAUUGAUUAUUAUUAAGUGAAGUCCACAGUUUGCAUUAGGGUUCAUGCUUGGUACCAGGCUCUUGAAGUUUUCGGAAACACAUGAUGCCAUAUGCUUCCUGACACUAAGUCUAUAGAAUAGU
rnacentral:sRNA from 1 species